AGAAUCAACGCUGGCGGCGCGCUUAACACAUGCAAGUCGCACGAGAAAGUGGAGCAAUCCAUGAGUAAAGUGGCGUACGGGUGAGUAAUACGUGGAUCAUCUACCUUUUAGUGGGGAAUACCCCUGGGAAACCGGGGAUAAUACCGCAUAAGCUCGUGAGAGGAAAGCCGAAAGGCGCUGAAAGAGGAGUCCGCGGCUGAUUAGCUAGUUGGUGAGGUAACGGCCCACCAAGGCGAAGAUCGGUAGCCGGCCUGAGAGGGCACACGGCCACACUGGCACUGAAACACGGGCCAGACUCCUACGGGAGGCAGCAGUGGGGAAUCUUGCACAAUGGAGGAAACUCUGAUGCAGCGACGCCGCGUGAGCGAUGAAGCCCUUCGGGGUGUAAAGCUCUUUCGACGGGAACGAUAAUGACGGUACCCGGAGAAGAAGCUGCGGCUAACUACGCGCCAGCAGCCGC
rnacentral:rRNA from 1 species